UGAAUACGAGACGCUAAGGCGUCGAAGUAGUGUAUGUCAUGCUUCCAAGAAAAGCUUGCACUGUCAUAGAUAAAAAACGCCUGUACCAUAACCGACACAGGUGGGUAGGUAGAGUAUACUAAGGGGCGCGAGAUAACUCUCUCUAAGGAACUCGGCAAAAUAACUCCGUAACUUCGGGAGAAGGAGUGCCUUAUUCUUAAGGUUGCAAUAACAAGAUCCAAGCAACUGUUUAUCAAAAACACAGGUCUCCGCUAAGUCGUAAGACGAUGUAUGGGGGCUGACGCCUGCCCAGUGCCAGAAGGUUAAAGAAGUUGGUUAGCAUUUGCGAAGCUGAUAACUGAAGCCCUGGUGAACGGCGGCCGUAACUAUAACGGUCCUAAGGUAGCGAAAUUCCUUGUCGGGUAAGUUCCGACCCGCACGAAAGGCGUAAUGAUUUGGAUACUGUCUCGGAGAGGGGCUCGGUGAAAUAGACUUGUCUGUGAAGAUGCGGACUACCUGCACCAGGACAGAAAGACCCUAUGAAGCUUUACUGUAACUUGAAAUUGAAAUUGACUUUAUUCGCGCAGCAUAGGUGGGAGGCGUUGAUUAUAAUCUCGUGGGAUUAUUGGAGCCAUCAGUGAGAUACCACUCUUGUAAUGUUAGAUUUCUAACUUUGAAUCAUUAUCUGGUCAAAGAACAGUUUCAGGCGGGCAGUUUGACUGGGGCGGUCGCCUCCUAAACGGUAACGGAGGCGUACAAAGGUUUCCUCUGAACGGUUAGAAAUCGUAUCUAGAGUGUAAAGGCAUAAGGAAGCUUGACUGUGAGACCUACAAGUCGAGCAGGGACGAAAGUCGGUCUUAGUGAUCUGACGGUACUGAGUGGAAAGGCCGUCACUCAACGGAUAAAAGUUACUCUAGGAUAACAGGCUGAUCUCCCCCAAGAGUUCACAUCGACGGGGAGGUUUGGCACCUUGAUGUCGGCUCAUCGCAUCCUGGGGCGGUAGUACGUCCCAAGGGUUGGGCUGUUCGCCCAUGAAAGCGGUACGCGAGCUGGGUUCAGAACGUCGUGAGACAGUUCGGUCCAUAUCCGGUGUAGGCGUUAGAAUAUUGAGAGGAGCCUUCUUUAGUACGAGAGGACCGAGAAGGACAUACCUCUGGUAUACCAGUUAUCGUGCCAACGGUAAACGCUGGGUAGCUAUGUAUGGAGUGGAUAACCGCUGAAAGCAUCUAAGUGGGAAGCCCACCUCAAGAUAAGUAUUCUCA
rnacentral:rRNA from 1 species